AUGGCGAUGCGUUGCCACUCUUCCUGUAGCCUCAUAUGCAUCGUCUUCCUCCUCGUUUUUGUUGCUGUGGCAGCGGAGGGUGCAGGAUACGUGCAGGCGCGGCAGCGGAAAUUACAGCAGGUGCCAGCACCACCGCCAGUGCCGCUGCCAAACCCUAACCCGCAGCCUGACCCAAACCCACAACCUUUGCCUAUGCCAGACCCAAAUCCGCAGCCAUUACCGCAGCCUUUACCGCAACCACUGCCGGGCCCAAACCCGCAGCCACAACCUCUGCCACAACCGUUGCCUGACGCAAACCCACAGCCACCGCCAUUACCACAACCUCUGCCACAACCACUACCGGGCCCAAACGCACAGCCUCUGCCACAACCAGACGUCCAAGGCUCGUAUCCGCAGGUACAACCAUUGCCAGAUUCAAACACGUCAGGGCGACAAAAUAACGCACUACAGGGACCGCAACCACUUGGUGCAGCUUCAACGUUAUAUUCAUGUGGUGCUACAUACAAAAACAUAUUUUUCAUGGGUUUAUUGUUGUACUAUUUUGUGUAG
rnacentral:rRNA from 1 species